UUCCUACGGGUGGCUGCAGUGGGGAAUCUUGCGCAAUGGGCGAAAGCCUGACGCAGCGACGCCGCGUGGGUGAUGAAGGCCUUCGGGUCGUAAAGCCCUGUCAAGAGGGACGAAACCUCGUCGACCUAAUACGUCGGCGACCUGACGGUACCUCUGAAGGAAGCACCGGCUAACUCCGUGCCAGCAGCCGCGGUAAUACGGAGGGUGCGAGCGUUGUUCGGAAUUACUGGGCGUAAAGCGCGUGUAGGCGGCCUUCUAAGUCGGGUGUGAAAGCCCGGGGCUCACCCCCGGAAGUGCAUUGGAUACUGGAAGGCUGGAGUACCGGAGAGGAGGGUGGAAUUCCUGGUGUAGCGGUGAAAUGCGUAGAUAUCAGGAGGAACACCUGUGGCGAAGGCGGCCCUCUGGACGGAUACUGACGCUGAGACGCGAAAGCGUGGGGAGCAAACAGGAUUAGAUACCCUUGUAGUCU
rnacentral:rRNA from 1 species